rfam:Caldanaerobius fijiensis DSM 17918 genome assembly, contig: EJ21DRAFT_scaffold00084.84
AGGCGAAGCAGAGGAAGGAGCCGCCGAGAAAAGCCGCUAAAUUGGACGAGGUGCCCGUACCGCAAACCGACACAGGUAGGCGAGGAGAGAAUCCACAGACGAGCGGGAGAACCCUUGUUAAGGAACUCGGCAAAAAGACUCCGUAACUUCGGGAGAAGGAGUGCCGAAAGGCCGCAGAGAAGAGGCCCAAGCGACUGUUUACCAAAAACACAGGUAUCUGCGAAGUCGGAAGACGAAGUAUAGGUGCUGACGCCUGCCCGGUGCUGGAAGGUUAAGGGGAGGGGUGAAAGCUCCGAACUUAAGCCCCAGUAAACGGCGGCCGUAACUAUAACGGUCCUAAGGUAGCGAAAUUCCUUGUCGGGUAAGUUCCGACCUGCACGAAAGGCGUAACGACUUGGGCGCUGUCUCAACAAGGGGCCCGGUGAAAUUGUAGUAUGAGUGAAGAUGCUCAUUACCCGCGACAGGACAGAAAGACCCCGUGGAGCUUUACUGUAGGCUGUCACUGGACUUCGAUAUAUACUGUACAGGAUAGGUGGGAGACAGAGAAGGUAGUGCGCCAGCAUUACCGGAGUCGCCGGUGGGAUACCACUCUGUAUAUAUUGAGGUUCUAACCGUAGGCCGUGGAGCCGGCUAUGGGACACUGGCAGUUGGGCAGUUUGACUGGGGCGGUCGCCUCCUAAAGGGUAACGGAGGCGCCCAAAGGUUACCUCAGCGCGGAUAGGAAUCGCGCGAAGAGUGCAAAGGCAGAAGGUAGCUUAACUGCGAGUCAGACGAGACGAGCAGGUACGAAAGUAGGGCUUAGUGAUCCGGUGGUAUAGAGUGGAAUAGCCAUCGCGCAACGGAUAAAAGCUACCCCGGGGAUAACAGGCUGAUCUCCCCCAAGAGUCCACAUCGACGGGGAGGUUUGGCACCUCGAUGUCGGCUCAUCGCAUCCUGGGGCUGAAGUAGGUCCCAAGGGUUGGGCUGUUCGCCCAUUAAAGCGGUACGCGAGCUGGGUUCAGAACGUCGUGAGACAGUUCGGUCCCUAUCCGUCGCGGGCGCAGGAAAUUUGAGAGGAGCCUUUCCUAGUACGAGAGGACCGGAAAGGACGGACCGAUGGUGAACCAGUUGCAGUGCCAACUGCACGGCUGGGAAGCCAAGUCCGGGAGUGAUAAACGCUGAAAGCAUCUAAGCGUGAAGCACGCCUCAAGAUAAGAUUUCCCAUACCGUAAAGGUAGUAAGACCCCUCGAAGAAGACGAGGUAGAUAGGCUUAAGGUGUAAGAGCAGAAAUGCUUUAAGCUGGUAAGUACUAAUAGGUCGAGGCCUUGACCU